rnacentral:rRNA from 1 species
UACGAAGGGGGCGAGCGUUGUUCGGAAUUACUGGGCGUAAAGGGCGCGCAGGCGGCUCUGAAAGUCAGAUGUGAAAGCCCCGGGCUUAACCUGGGAAUUGCAUUUGAUACUCUGGAGCUUGAGUGUGGGAGAGGAGAGUGGAAAUUCCCAGUGUAGAGGUGAAAUUCGUAGAUAUUGGGAAGAACACCGGUGGCGAAGGCGGCUCUCUGGACCACAACUGACGCUGAGGCGCGAAAGCGUGGGGAGCAAACAGGG